rnacentral:rRNA from 1 species
AACGAACGCUGGCGGCAUGCCUAACACAUGCAAGUCGAACGAGACCUUCUGGUCUAGUGGCGCACGGGUGCGUAACGCGUGGGAACCUGCCCUUAGGUUCGGACUAACUCCCCGCAAGGGGUGCUAAUACCGGAUAAUGUCUUCGGACCAAAGAUUUAUCGCCUUUGGAUGGGCCCGCGUUGGAUUAGCUAGUUGGUAGGGUAAAAGCCUACCAAGGCGACGAUCCAUAGCUGGUCUGAGAGGAUGAUCAGCCACACUGGGACUGAGACACGGCCCAGACUCCUACGGGAGGCAGCAGUGGGGAAUAUUGGACAAUGGGCGAAAGCCUGAUCCAGCAAUGCCGCGUGAGUGAUGAAGGACUUAGGGAUGUAAAGCUCUUUUAACAGGGAAGAUAAUGACAGUACCGGGAGAAUAAGCUCCGGCUAACUCCGUG